rnacentral:rRNA from 1 species
AUUGAACGCUGGCGGCAUGCCUUACACAUGCAAGUCGAACGGCAGCACGGUUGCUUGCACCUGUUGGCGAGUGGCGAACGGGUGAGUAAUACAUCGGAACCUGUCCCGUAGUUGGGGAUAGCCCUGCGAAAGCCGGAUUUAUACCGCAAACGAACUCCGGAUGACAGCGGGGGACCUUCGGGCUUCGCGCUAUAGGGUUGGCCGAUGGCGGAUUAGCUAGUUGGUGGGGUAAAGGCCUACCAAGGCGACGAUCAGUAGCUGGUCUGAGAGGACGAUCAGCCACACUGGGACUGAGACACGGCCCAGACUCCUACGGGAGGCAGCAGUGGGGAAUGUUGGACAAUGGGCGAAAGCCUGAUCCAGCAAUGCCGCGUGUGUGAAGAAGGCCUUCGGGUUGUAAAGCACUUUUGUCCGGAAAGAAAUGCUUGGCUCUAAUACGGUCGGGGGAUGACGGUACCGGAAGAAUAAGCACCGGCUAACUACGUG